GGGGAUUAGCUCAGUAGUAGAGCGCUUGCCUAGCAAGCACAAGGCCCUGGGUUCAGUCCCCAGCUCCG
rnacentral:tRNA from 1 species